rnacentral:lncRNA from 1 species
AGGGAGAGAAGCUGGGAGAAGGUGCAGUGGUUCCAGGAGAAGAAUGCAUAGGACCUGGGGCCCAGAAUUGCUCCAAAUCAUUAACAAUGAAGAUAUCAUUGUGAGGAGGAAGCCAGGGGCAGGAGGGGGAUGACUGGUCAGGCAGGAGGCAAACAAGAGGCAGCCCGCCCGUUCUCAAUAAGGUGAAAGAGCUGUGCAUAUGGAACACCUGUGCAUAUUCAGACAAACACAUGGAUGCUAUUAUGUUGUCCUGCUGUGAAUGACAUUCAUUCUCAUUGUCUCCUUCAGCCCAUGAAAUAGCUCCCCUGAUCAUAUUAAACUGUACCUGGCUACCUCUGAGCUUCAGGAAAUGCCCUGUGAUACUAGCAUUAGGUUUGCAGACCCAUUCCAACAUUUUCAUCUUUCUUCCGUUUCCUGGCCCAGGAGACAGUCUUAGUUUAUUGACUUACAACUCAAGGAAGAAUGAGUGACAAAAAGCCUUUUUCAUAUGGAGUGAAUUUGAGGCAUAGUCAAAGCCUGUCUAUCACUUCUUGGUGAUCUAGUACUUGUUCACUUCUGGGAGAAGCAUAUGCCCUAAGUCAUGAGAACAACAGGGUAAUACCUUCUAUUUGCACAGGGCUUUACAUGUACCAAACGCUUUCACAUGCAAUACCUCAUAUGAUCCUUGCACCCAUUGAUGUGAAUUCUGGCAUGAAUUUGUACAAUCCCAUCACAAUUAGAGCUAAGACUUUAAUUUGACUCAGUAAUAACUGGAGAGUCCCUCCUGUGAUCUUCAUGGAUACUUUGCAGACCCAAUAGUUGUUACAUUCUCAUGCACCAGAAAAAUAAAACUUUCAGGGAAUUAAGAGAUUUUGUUUUUAGCCUAUAAUUUGAGCAAAACAAUGGGCUGGGCCUUGUGGGAAGUUGCAAAGAGACAUUAGGCAGAGCCUCUACCCUCAGGGGGCUUAAGAUUUGAUUGGG